UCCCCGAUAGCUCAGUCGGUAGAGCACCUGACUGUUAAUCAGGCUGUCGCUGGUUCGAGCCCGGCUCGGGGAGCCA
rnacentral:tRNA from 1 species